rnacentral:rRNA from 1 species
GACGAACGCUGGCGGCGUGCUUAACACAUGCAAGUCGAACGGUAAGGCCCUUCGGGGUACACGAGUGGCGAACGGGUGAGUAACACGUGGGUGAUCUGCCCUGCACUUCGGGAUAAGCCUGGGAAACUGGGUCUAAUACCGGAUAGGACUCCUGGCUUCAUGGUUGGGGGUGGAAAGCUUUCGCGGUGUGUGAUGGGCCCGCGGCCUGUCCGCUUGUUGGUGGGGUAAUGGCCUACCAAGGCGACGACGGGUAGCCGGUCUGAGAGGGUGACCGGUCACACUGGGACUGAGAUACGGCCCAGACUCCUACGGGAGGCAGCAGUGGGGAAUAUUGCACAAUGGGCGCAAGCCUGAUGCAGCGACGCCGCGUGAGGGAUGACGGCCUUCGGGUUGCAAACCUCUUUCAGCUAUGACGAAGCGCAAGUGACGGUAGUAGCAGAAGAAGGACCGGCCAACUACGUGCCAGCCGCCGCGGUAA